GUUUGGGCACCGGGCAGGUGUCGGGCAGGAUGGGCGCUCAGGGCCCUGGCUGGGCUGCACCUAGGCCCACAGGAGGCUCAGAGGCCCGAGGGCCGCGGGGGUCGGGCGGCGGCGGGGCUGAAAGCCAGACACCUCAGGGCCGCGUGGCCCUGGGCAGCGAACGGGAUCCGGGGAGGCCCGGCUCCCCGAGCGCGGCCGGGCCUGGAGAGGCCCGGGGUGGAGGGCGCCGACACCUCCGCGCCCCUCAGCCCACCCCCCAGGCCCCGCACGCACGCACGCCCGGCAUGCCGCUGGGGGUCCCCGAAGCCCUCCGGGCUGCCGAACCUGGCCAGGCGUUUGCUGGCCGCGGGGUGGCAGUGUUCGGGGGCAUGGCGGCAUUGGCCGGCCCGAGUCUGGCCGUGGGUCGUUCGGCUCAAGUACAGCGUGCACCCCGGUGGUGAGGUGCAGCCGGCUGGCCUGACCCGCAGGUCAGAGAGAAAGGGAGGCACAGCGCAGGGCUCUUAGGGUGCCAGGCGGCAGCCGCCUCCUUCUACGGCCAUACCACCCUGAACGCGCCUGAUCUCAUCUGAUCUCAAGGGCUCACAUUUGAUGGUGGUCUUGUCAUCUCCUACCUCUUUCUCGUAAAGCUGGCAGCUGAGGGAAUGAAGCAGCGUGGUGGGAACACAGGGGCUGGAUUCUGCUACAGUCAGGACUUGCUCCUGAUGUGCUUCAGGCGUGAAGUGAUUUAAAAGUACUGGGUGUUAAAUGUGAGCUUCUAAUGAAAUUUGGGCUGAAAGGAUGCCUAGAAGAAGACUGAAAAUCUCUCCUGUAACCCAGUCUCUGUGGACCCGGAUCCCUCCUCUCCGGUGAGACUCUUUGGGGACCAAUCGCGAUGCCCUGCACCCGCUGCAGAGCCAUCGAGCUGGACAGUGAAGGUGCCACUUCCCAGACAGACAGGGUAGUGUAGCUCUGACAAAGGCCUUAUUUUUAUGUAAAUCAUCUUUUUACAUGAUUGUAAACAUGUUUAAAGAAUGGACCUAGGCGUACAUUUUUAGAUUGUGAUGACAUAGCCAUUCUGGAUUGUAUAAGUAGCAAAUGUAAUUUUUACUUUUUCAGCGGCACAUUAAAAAAGCCAGCAAGAGAUGCGUUCAGGUCACAGUGUGAUAUUUAUUAUGCAGCUGGUAUCUUGGUAGACAGAGACAGCAUGUUUCUUUACAUGUGGGUUCCGCCUUUAAUUUACUUGUACAAUUCAUUGUUAUCAUUCUAUUUUCCUAUUAAUCUUUUGUGAACUUCCCGAAUAUGUGACAAAGUAUGUACAGUCUACUUUUGAACUAUUUUUAUCACAGUAUUAUUUAUUGCUUUCUUUCAAUAAAGUACUGAAG
ensembl:lncRNA